ACCACUAGGCAAGCCUGCCUGUAAAACCUUAAUUAAAAACUACCUAGAACACUGAACAUUUUUUAUUUUUAGCCUGUCCCCACUCUCUAACACUACACUUCACCAUGAAAUAUAAAGAUUAGAAUCCUUCAGAAAUAUUUUUUUUUUUAAAGGUAUUAUGGUGUGACCUCUAUUUCCAAUUUAGACAAAAAAAAAUACAUUUUCUCAUCGGAAAUUCCUAAUAUGUUAGUUAAAAUACACAUUUUCGGUGUGUCCCCAGGAUUUCAGUCAGUCCUGUUACCCUGACCCCCCUUCCCCCUCUAAAGAUGUGGGACAUUCCACAAGUCACAUGAUCAAGUAGCAUCAUUUGGCAUCAUUUGAGUUUCCUGAAGGCCAAGGGAAGACCAAGUUUGAGGUCCAAACACUUAAAAGACACACCCUAACCCCUCAGUCCUCAAAUUAAGUGUGCACUUUUGAUGACGUAUAAUGACGUCUGACGAGUAUAAACUUGAAGGGCGAGGAAGGAAUGAUUUUUAAGUGGACCGCCCUUGGCCGGAAAUUGGCCACUCGUUCAUCCCGCGAUGAUUGUGUUUUCAGCCACCAGUCAAUUAUGAUUUUCGUGGACUUUUCUUAGCGGAUGUACAAUCAUCGCGAAUUGAAUUCUGGGGGAGUUUCAGACCUCGGAGUGAACAUAAUUGUACACUCGCAAAGCCGAAUAAAAACGAGGCCUGAGGGGCUUACGUUGCAAACUUCCCUUGUUCGGCUAAUAAUUUGGACCGCCCGCCAAGAUGGCAACAGGGAUUCCCCCAAGGGCAUAAGGCGAGGGAAAGUGGACGAGGGUGUGUCUUAUAAGUGUUUGGACCGCACGCCAAAAUUGGAAUUACUGAAGGUGUUUUCAGUUGAACUUUUUGGAUGACAUGGGACCCACUAUGUCUGGCUUGCAUAGUAGCGACGGGCGGUGUGUGGCUACCACAGAAUUCUGCAGCGAUACAUCCCAUCUGGUUUGCACUUAGUGGGACUAUCAUUUGCUUUUCAACCGGAUAAUGACCCAAAACACAACUCCAGGCUGUGUAAGGGCUAUUUGACCAAG